UUUCAAAUAUGGUUCAGCACCUCUGAAAAUAAUUUGACCAUAAGGACAUUUUAAAAUUUUAAAAUAAAAUUUAUCCUCUAUGUGUCUGUCCAUUUAAAGUGUGGCAUGUAGUUAUAUUCAGUAACUUAAAAUAUACGUCCCGAUGAAUCUAGAUCUUUUGUCAGAUUAAAAGUAUAUUUAAAAAAUAACCUAUGCUCAUGUAUUGAACAUACUUUUCAAUAAGCCCACAUUUCUGCUUUUUAAAAAUAUUUUUUUCAUUAGUCUGAUACCAAUUUCAAAACGUAUCAAGCAAUUUUUGCAGUUUGUUGCUAGAGUGGUGUUGCUAGGUGACGGGCAGUGCCUGCUGAAUUGUGUCGUUACAUUCCGGAGGUUUCUGACACGACUCAUUUUCCAGACACAAAAAACGUUAACUUAUUGC